UUCCUUUAUCAAGUUUUUCUUCCCUUUUCCUUUUCCUUUUCUCUUUCUCUUUUUGACCAAACGGUACCCACCCACAGCGACAUUUGUAAUCCCAAAGAGCAAGAUAACCAGCAAGGCAAGAGUCAGGUGGAAGAGAAGAAGAAGAAGAAUGAAGGAGUUUCC
rnacentral:ribozyme from 13 species